rnacentral:rRNA from 1 species
UAUUUAAAUUUAUUUUAAUGGUAUUUUAAAAAUUAAUAUUAAAUUAUUUAAUAUAAAAAAUAUAAAUAGAGUUUGAUCCUGGCUCAGAAUAAAUGCUAUCGGUAUGCUUAACACAUGCAAGUUGAAUGUUUUUAAAAACAUAGCGAACGGGUGAGUAACACGUGAAUUAUCUACCUUUUAAUUCAGGAUAAUUAUUUUAUAAAAAUACUGGAUAAUUAAUAAAAUUAAAGUUUUUUAACGUUAAAAGACGAGUUUGCGCAAGAUUAGGUAGUUGGUAGUGUAAUAGACUACCAAGCCGAUUAUCUUUAGCUGGUUUGAAAGAACGAUCAGCCACAUUGGGACUGAGACACGGCCCAGACUUUUUUAAAGGCAGCAGUGAGGAAUUUUGGACAAUGAGCGAAAGCUUGAUCCAGCAAUACCGAGUGAGUGAUGGAGGCUAAUUAGGUUGUAAAGCUCUUUCAUUAAGGAGGAAAAUGACAGUACUUAAAAAAGAAGUUCCGGCUAAUACCCGUGCCAGCAGCCGCGGUAAUACGGGAGGAGCGAGCAUUAUUCGGAAUGAUUAGGCGUAAAGAGUUUGUAGGUGGUUUUUUAAGUUGAAAGAAACAAAUUAAAGCUCAACUUUAUACAUUUUUUCAAAACUGAUAAACUCGAGUAUAAAUAGAGGGUAAUGGAAUUUCUAUUGGAGUGAUAAAAUACGUUGAUAAUAGAAGGAAGAUCGACGGCGAAGGCAAUUACCUGGGUAUAUACUGACACUGAGAAACGAAAGCUUGGGUAGCGAACGGGAUUAGAUACCCCGGUAGUCCAUGCUGUAAACGAUGAGUGCUAAUAUUUAGAAUUUUUUAGAUAUGACAGCUAACGCGUUAAGCACUCCGCCUGAAAAGUAUAAUCGCAAGAUUGAAAUUCAAAGGAAUUGACGGGAGUCUACACAAGCGGUGGAGCAUGUGGUUUAAUUCGAUAAUACGCGCAGAACCUUACCAACUCUUGCUAAUUUUUAUAUAAAAUUUUAUAUAAAAAACAGGUGUUGCAUGGCUGUCGUCAGCUCGUGUUGUGAAAUGUUUGGUUAAAUCCUUUAACGAGCGCAACCCCUAUUAUUAGUUACUAAUUUAUUUUAAAUAUGUAAAAGUACUCUAAUAAAAAAAUUAAUGAUAGGUUAAUGGAAGGUGGGGAUGACGUCAAGUCUUCAUGGCCCUUAUGAGUUGGGCUACACACGUGCUACAAUGGUAAUUACAAUGAGAAGCAAUAAUAUAAAAAAGUUGGAGCAAAACUUUAAAAAUUACCCUAGUUCGGAUUAAGGGCUGAAACUCGCCCUUAUGAAGUUGGAAUCGCUAGUAAUCGCAGAACAGCAUGCUGCGGUGAAUAUGUUACUGGACUUUGUACACACCGCCCGUCACAUCAGGGAAGUUGAUUGUUUUUAAAAUAAAUUCACGUUAUUAUUUAAUGAUUGGUAAACUAUUUAAGUAGAGUAGUUAAAGUUAUUAUUUAAUGGUUUGAAAUUCCUAAAAAGUAGUUAGCAACUUUGAUGAAGUCGUAACAAGGUAGUCGUAGGGGAACCUGUGUCUGGAAGAGAU